AAGUCGUAACAAGGUUUCCGUAGGUGAACCUGCGGAAGGAUCAUUAUUGAAUUAUGUUUCUAAAUGGGUUGUAGCUGGCUUUUUAGAGCAUGUGCACGCCUGUUUGGACUUCAUUCUCAUCCACCUGUGCACCUUUUGUAGUCUUUGGUUGGGUAUCCAGGAUGUGGUCAGCCUAUCAGCAUCCGCUGGAUGUGAGGACUUGCAGUGUGAAAGCUCUGCUGUCCUUUACUUGAUCACAGAGUCGUGUUCUCACCAGAGUCUAUGUUAUUCAUUAUACCCUGUCGAAUGUCAUUGAAUGUCUUUACAUGGGCUUUAUGCCUGUUAAAUUAUAAUACAACUUUCAGCAACGGAUCUCUUGGCUCUC
rnacentral:misc_RNA from 1 species